CCUUCCGUUCAGAUUUUGUAAAUCUUGGAUUUAUGUUAGAACGAAGGAAAAUUUGGAUUUGGAGGACAUACGGAUUUAGCGACCCCGGAAUCGUGUUUGAUGGAUUUAUGCUAAAUUCACAUGGAGCUGGAUGUUGCCAUCAUCAAGGCUACCAAUCACGUUGAGCUCCCGCCGAAGGAGAGGCACAUCAGAAAAAUCUUGGUCAUUUCUGGCAUAUCGCGCCCUCGGACUGAGGUAGCCUAUUGCAUAAGUGCUCUUGCAAGACGGCUCGCAAAGACUCAUAAUUGGACGGUACACAUGCUUUUUCGAGUUUUCCCCCACAUCUUUAAUAGCACAUAAUAAUAACACAAUUUUAACGGUUAAAAGUGAAUUACAUUUUUUCGUGCAUGCGUAAGGUUGUAUGCAUGCUAAAAGUGAAGUUUAGAUAUACAUAAGAAUUGAGUGGUAUGUAAAAUUUUCUCCUUUCUUUUGAUUGUUUAUUUAGAGUAGUGGACAUGGGGCUGUACAGUUGGAUUGGAGCUUAUAUGGGGAAUAUAUUUGAAUGCUAAUCUUGC